GACGAACGCUGGCGGCGUGCUUAACACAUGCAAGUCGAACGAGAAUCUAUGGAUCGAGGAUUCGUCCAAGUGAAGUAGAGGACAGUGGCGGACGGGUGAGUAACGCGUGAGGAACCUGCCUUUCAGAGGGGGACAACGGUUGGAAACGACUGCUAAUACCGCAUGACACAUAGAGAUCGCAUGGUUUUUAUGUCAAAGAUUUAUCGCUGAAAGAUGGCCUCGCGUUUGAUUAGCUAGUUGGUGAGGUAACGGCCCACCAAGGCGACGAUCAGUAGCCGGACUGAGAGGUUGACCGGCCACAUUGGGACUGAGAUACGGCCCAGACUCUCUACGGGAGGCAGCAGUGGGGAAUAUUGGGCAAUGGGCGCAAGCCUGACCCAGCAACGCCGCGUGAAGGAAGAAGGCUUUCGGGUUGUAAACUUCUUUUGUCGGGGACGAGUAGAAGACGGUACCUGGCGAAUAAGCCACGGCUAACUACGUGCCAGCAGCCGCGGUAAUACGUAGGUGGCAAGCGUUGUCCGGGUUUACUGGGUGUAAAGGGCGUGUAGCCGGGAAGGCAAGUCAGAUGUGAAAUCCACGGGCUUAACUCGUGAACUGCAUUUGAAACUGUUUUUCUUGAGUAUCGGAGAGGCAAUCGGAAUUCCUAGUGUAGCGGUGAAAUGCGUAGAUAUUAGGAGGAACACCAGUGGCGAAGGCGGAUUGCUGGACGACAACUGACGGUGAGGCGCGAAAGCGUGGGGAGCAAACAGGAUUAGAUACCCUGGUAGUCCACGCUGUAAACGAUGAAUAAUAGGUGUGCGGGGACUGACCCCCUGCGUGCCGCAGUAACACAAUA
rnacentral:rRNA from 1 species